rnacentral:rRNA from 1 species
UAACACUAACUGGAGGACCGAACCGACUAAUGUUGAAAAAUUAGCGGAUGACUUGUGGCUGGGGGUGAAAGGCCAAUCAAACCGGGAGAUAGCUGGUUCUCCCCGAAAGCUAUUUAGGUAGCGCCUCGUGAAUUCAUCUCCGGGGGUAGAGCACUGUUUCGGCAAGGGGGUCAUCCCGACUUACCAACCCGAUGCAAACUGCGAAUACCGGAGAAUGUUAUCACGGGAGACACACGGCGGGUGCUAACGUCCGUCGUGAAGAGGGAAACAACCCAGACCGCCAGCUAAGGUCCCAAAGUCAUGGUUAAGUGGGAAACGAUGUGGGAAGGCCCAGACAGCCAGGAUGUUGGCUUAGAAGCAGCCAUCAUUUAAAGAAAGCGUAAUAGCUCACUGGUCGAGUCGGCCUGCGCGGAAGAUGUAACGGGGCUAAACCAUGCACCGAAGCUGCGGCAGCGACGCUUAUGCGUUGUUGGGUAGGGGAGCGUUCUGUAAGCCUGUGAAGGUGGCCUGUGAGGGUUGCUGGAGGUAUCAGAAGUGCGAAUGCUGACAUAAGUAACGAUAAAGCGGGUGAAAAGCCCGCUCGCCGGAAGACCAAGGGUUCCUGUCCAACGUUAAUCGGGGCAGGGUGAGUCGACCCCUAAGGCGAGGCCGAAAGGCGUAGUCGAUGGGAAACAGGUUAAUAUUCCUGUACUUGGUGUUACUGCGAAGGGGGGACGGAGAAGGCUAUGUUGGCCGGGCGACGGUUGUCCCGGUUUAAGCGUGUAGGCUGGUUUUCCAGGCAAAUCCGGAAAAUCAAGGCUGAGGCGUGAUGACGAGGCACUACGGUGCUGAAGCGACAAAUGCCCUGCUUCCAGGAAAAGCCUCUAAGCAUCAGGUAACAUUAAAUCGUACCCCAAACCGACACAGGUGGUCAGGUAGAGAAUACCAAGGCGCUUGAGAGAACUCGGGUGAAGGAACUAGGCAAAAUGGUGCCGUAACUUCGGGAGAAGGCACGCUGAUAUGUAGGUGAAGCGACUUGCUCGUGGAGCUGAAAUCAGUCGAAGAUACCAGCUGGCUGCAACUGUUUAUUAAAAACACAGCACUGUGCAAACACGAAAGUGGACGUAUACGGUGUGACGCCUGCCCGGUGCCGGAAGGUUAAUUGAUGGGGUUAGCGGUAACGCGAAGCUCUUGAUCGAAGCCCCGGUAAACGGCGGCCGUAACUAUAACGGUCCUAAGGUAGCGAAAUUCCUUGUCGGGUAAGUUCCGACCUGCACGAAUGGCGUAAUGAUGGCCAGGCUGUCUCCACCCGAGACUCAGUGAAAUUGAACUCGCUGUGAAGAUGCAGUGUACCCGCGGCAAGACGGAAAGACCCCGUGAACCUUUACUAUAGCUUGACACUGAACAUUGAGCCUUGAUGUGUAGGAUAGGUGGGAGGCUUUGAAGUGUGGACGCCAGUCUGCAUGGAGCCGACCUUGAAAUACCACCCUUUAAUGUUUGAUGUUCUAACGUGGGCCCCUUACCGGGGUUGCGGACAGUGUCUGGUGGGUAGUUUGACUGGGGCGGUCUCCUCCUAAAGAGUAACGGAGGAGCACGAAGGUUGGCUAAUCCUGGUCGGACAUCAGGAGGUUAGUGCAAUGGCAUAAGCCAGCUUGACUGCGAGCGUGACGGCGCGAGCAGGUGCGAAAGCAGGUCAUAGUGAUCCGGUGGUUCUGAAUGGAAGGGCCAUCGCUCAACGGAUAAAAGGUACUCCGGGGAUAACAGGCUGAUACCGCCCAAGAGUUCAUAUCGACGGCGGUGUUUGGCACCUCGAUGUCGGCUCAUCACAUCCUGGGGCUGAAGUAGGUCCCAAGGGUAUGGCUGUUCGCCAUUUAAAGUGGUACGCGAGCUGGGUUUAGAACGUCGUGAGACAGUUCGGUCCCUAUCUGCCGUGGGCGCUGGAGAACUGAGGGGGGCUGCUCCUAGUACGAGAGGACCGGAGUGGACGCAUCACUGGUGUUCGGGUUGUCAUGCCAAUGGCACUGCCCGGUAGCUAAAUGCGGAAGAGAUAAGUGCUGAAAGCAUCUAAGCACGAAACUUGCCCCGAGAUGAGUUCUCCCUGACUCCUUGAGAGUCCUGAAGGAACGUUGAAG